UACGUAGGGUGCGAGCGUUAAUCGGAAUUACUGGGCGUAAAGCGUGCGCAGGCGGUUGUGUAAGACAGAUGUGAAAUCCCCGGGCUUAACCUGGGAACUGCAUUUGUGACUGCACGGCUGGAGUGCGGCAGAGGGGGAUGGAAUUCCGCGUGUAGCAGUGAAAUGCGUAGAUAUCGAGAGGAACACCUGCGGCGAAGGCGGGUUGCUGGGCUGACACUGACGCUGAUGCGCGAAAGCCAGGGGAGCGAACGGG
rnacentral:rRNA from 1 species